rnacentral:tRNA from 2 species
GGGCAAGUUCCAGAGUGGCCAAAUGGAGCAGACUGUAAAUCUGUUGUCUCUGACUUCGGUGGUUCGAAUCCAUCCUUGCCCACCA